GAUGAACGCUGGCGGCGUGCUUAACACAUGCAAGUCGAACGAUGAAGCCCAGCUUGCUGGGUGGAUUAGUGGCGAACGGGUGAGUAACACGUGAGUAACCUGCCCUUAACUCUGGGAUAAGCCUGGGAAACUGGGUCUAAUACCGGAUAGGAGCGUCCACCGCAUGGUGGGUGUUGGAAAGAUUUAUCGGUUUUGGAUGGACUCGCGGCCUAUCAGCUUGUUGGUGAGGUAAUGGCUCACCAAGGCGACGACGGGUAGCCGGCCUGAGAGGGUGACCGGCAACACUGGGACUGAGACACGGCCCAGACUCCUACGGGAGGCAGCAGUGGGGAAUAUUGCACAAUGGGCGCAAGCCUGAUGCAGCGACGCCGCGUGAGGGAUGACGGCCUUCGGGUUGUAAACCUCUUUCAGUAGGGAAGAAGCGAAAGUGACGGUACCUGCAGAAGAAGCACCGGCUAACUACGUG
rnacentral:rRNA from 1 species